rnacentral:rRNA from 1 species
AUGAGAAAGCCUGAGAUGUUUAACUGUUUGAAAGAACUCAAAAUGUCCAACUGCCCAAGAUGCAAGAGUAUACCUGUAGUAUGGCUCUCGGUCUCUCUAGAGAUUUUGUGCAUAGAGAAGAUGGAUAACUUGACCACAUUAUGUAAUAGCCUUGAUGUGGAAGGUGGAGGACACAUUACUCCUUUCCAAAAUUUUCCAAGGUUGAAGAGGAUGAGGUUGUUUGAGUUACCAAGCCCGGAGAUAUGGGCAGAAAAUAGUAUGGGAGUGCCUUGUGAUAACUUGCUAAAGUUCCCGAUGCUUGAAGUGCUAAGGAUAGAAAAUUGCCCCAAGCUUGCAAGUAUUCCAGUGAUCCCCAUUGUCUGGGAUUUGAGUAUAGUUGGAGUUCACGGUACUGCAGUCAGUUUGAUUUUUAUGAGUAUCCGUUUGGGCUCUUGGCCAUUUCUCAUCACGUUAACUCUUGAGUCUAAGGAAGACAUAGCCAUGUUGCUUCUAGACGCCCAGCAAAGCCAAAGUGAAAGACCUCUUGAAAAACUAGAGUAUUUGGCUCUAAGAGGCCGUAACAGCUUGGACACAAGGUCCGGAUUGUCCAGAUCACGCCUUAUGUCCAUGGAAAUGCUUUCAGUUUGUGGAAGAGUUGAUGAUUCGCGGAUGCAGUAA